UACGUAGGUGGCAAGCGUUGUCCGGAUUUACUGGGCGUAAAGAGCGCGUAGGCGGUCGUCCAAGUCGCGUGUGAAAGCCCCCGGCUCAACUGGGGAGGGUCACGCGAUACUGGUCGACUCGAAGGCAGGAGAGGGUAGUGGAAUUCCCGGUGUAGUGGUGAAAUGCGUAGAUAUCGGGAGGAACACCAGUGGCGAAGGCGACUACCUGGCCUGUUCUUGACGCUGAGGCGCGAAAGCUAGGGGAGCAAACGGG
rnacentral:rRNA from 1 species